GUGGGUAUAGAUAGAGUAAUAGAGAGAGGGAGUGGGUAUAGAUAUAGUAACAGAGAGAGGAGGAGUGGGUAUAGAUAUAGUAACAGAGAGAGAGGGAGUGGGUAUAGAUAGAGUAAUAGAGAGAGAAGGAGUGGGUAUAGAUAGAGUAACAGAGAGAAGGAGUGGGUAUAGAUAUAGUAAUAGAGAGAGAGGGAGUGGGUUUAAAUAGAGUAAUAGAGAGAGAAGGAGUGGGUAUAGCUAGAGUCAUAGAGAGAGGGAGUGGGUAUAGAUAGAGUAAUAGAGAGAGAGGGAGUGGGUAUAGAUAGAGUAACAGAGAUAGAGGGAGUGGGUAU
ensembl:lncRNA